rnacentral:rRNA from 1 species
GAUUCGUCACACUAUCAUUAACUGAAUCCAUAGGUUAAUGAGGCGAACCGGGGGAACUGAAACAUCUAAGUACCCCGAGGAAAAGAAAUCAACCGAGAUUCCCCCAGUAGCGGCGAGCGAACGGGGAGGAGCCCAGAGCCUGAAUCAGCAUGUGUGUUAGUGGAAGCGUCUGGAAAGGCGCGCGAUACAGGGUGACAGCCCCGUACACAAAAGCGCAUGUGCUGUGAGCUCGAUGAGUAGGGCGGGACACGUGGUAUCCUGUCUGAAUAUGGGGGGACCAUCCUCCAAGGCUAAAUACUCCUGACUGACCGAUAGUGAACCAGUACCGUGAGGGAAAGGCGAAAAGAACCCCGGCGAGGGGAGUGAAAAAGAACCUGAAACCGUGUACGUACAAGCAGUGGGAGCACCCUUCGGGGUGUGACUGCGUACCUUUUGUAUAAUGGGUCAGCGACUUAUAUUCUGUAGCAAGGUUAACCGUAUAGGGGAGCCGGAGGGAAACCGAGUCUUAACCGGGCGUUAAGUUGCAGGGUAUAGACCCGAAACCCGGUGAUCUAGCCAUGGGCAGGUUGAAGGUUGGGUAACACUAACUGGAGGACCGAACCGACUAAUGUUGAAAAAUUAGCGGAUGACCUGUGGCUGGGGGUGAAAGGCCAAUCAAACCGGGAGAUAGCUGGUUCUCCCCGAAAGCUAUUUAGGUAGCGCCUCGUGAAUUCAUCUCCGGGGGUAGAGCACUGUUUCGGCUAGGGGGCCAUCCCGGCUUACCAACCCGAUGCAAACUGCGAAUACCGGAGAAUGUUAUCACGGGAGACACACGGCGGGUGCUAACGUCCGUCGUGAAGAGGGAAACAACCCAGACCGCCAGCUAAGGUCCCAAAGUCAUGGUUAAGUGGGAAACGAUGUGGGAAGGCCCAGACAGCCAGGAUGUUGGCUUAGAAGCAGCCAUCAUUUAAAGAAAGCGUAAUAGCUCACUGGUCGAGUCGGCCUGCGCGGAAGAUGUAACGGGGCUAAACCAUGCACCGAAGCUGCGGCAGCGAACGUAUCACCCAAGACAACUUUACGGAGUUGACGAUUGACGGAGCGAAGCGACGUCAAAGCGUUCAUUAAAGUCGAGUUGGCUUAGGGAUACGUUCGUUGGGUAGGGGAGCGUUCUGUAAGCCUGUGAAGGUGUGUCGUGAGGCAUGCUGGAGGUAUCAGAAGUGCGAAUGCUGACAUAAGUAACGAUAAAGCGGGUGAAAAGCCCGCUCGCCGGAAGACCAAGGGUUCCUGUCCAACGUUAAUCGGGGCAGGGUGAGUCGACCCCUAAGGCGAGGCCGAAAGGCGUAGUCGAUGGGAAACGGGUUAAUAUUCCCGUACUUGGUGUUACUGCGAAGGGGGGACGGAGAAGGCUAUGUUGGCCGGGCGACGGUUGUCCCGGUUUAAGCGUGUAGGUGUGUGUUCCAGGUAAAUCCGGUU